UACGUAGGUUGCAAGCGUUGUCCGGAUUUACUGGGUGUAAAGGGCGUGUAGGCGGAGAUGCAAGUUGGGAGUGAAAUCCCGGGGCUCAACCCCGGAACUGCUUUCAAAACUGCAUCCCUUGAGUGUCGGAGAGGCAAGCGGAAUUCCUAGUGUAGCGGUGAAAUGCGUAGAUAUUAGGAGGAACACCAGUGGCGAAGGCGGCUUGCUGGACGAUAACUGACGCUGAGGCGCGAAAGCGUGGGGAGCAAACAGGAUUAGAUAUCCGCGUAGU
rnacentral:rRNA from 1 species